rnacentral:tRNA from 1 species
GCCGUGGUGGUGCAGUGGUUAAGUGCUCGGCUGCUAACCGAAAGGUUGGUGGUUCAAAUCCGCCCAGUGGCU